AUUGAACGCUGGCGGCAGGCCUAACACAUGCAAGUCGAGCGGAUGAAGGGAGCUUGCUCCUGGAUUCAGCGGCGGACGGGUGAGUAAUGCCUAGGAAUCUGCCUGGUAGUGGGGGAUAACGUCCGGAAACGGGCGCUAAUACCGCAUACGUCCUGAGGGAGGAAGUGGGGGAUCUUCGGACCUCACGCUAUCAGAUGAGCCUAGGUCGGAUUAGCUAGUUGGUGGGGUAAAGGCCUACCAAGGCGACGAUCCGUAACUGGUCUGAGAGGAUGGUCAGUCACACUGGAACUGAGACACGGUCCAGACUCCUACGGGAGGCAGCAGUGGGGAAUAUUGGACAAUGGGCGAAAGCCUGAUCCAGCCAUGCCGCGUGUGUGAAGAAGGUCUUCGGAUUGUAAAGCACUUUAAGUUGGGAGGAAGGGCAGUAAGUUAAUACCUUGCUGUUUUGACGUUACCAACAGAAUAAGCACCGGCUAACUUCGUG
rnacentral:rRNA from 1 species